GUGUCUUCUGCUAUGGCGUGCAGGCAGAGAGGAGGCUCUUGGAGUCCCUCAGGCUGGUUCAAUGCAGGCUGGAGCACCUACAGGUCGAUUUCUCUCUUCUUCGCCCUUGUGACUUCAGGGAACUCCAUAGAUGUUUCUCAGUUGGUAAAUCCUGCCUUUCCAGGCACUGUCACUUGCGAUGAAAGGGAAAUAACAGUGGAGUUCCCAAGCAGUCCUGGCACCAAGAAAUGGCAUGCAUCUGUGGUGGGUAGGUAACGUGUGUUAUCUCCUCAUAGUCCUGAUUAGCAGACAGCCUUUGGCUUAGGUCAAUCCUGUUUGGGGAGCAGAGUACCCAAACUCCUGCAGCAACGGCAUCCAACUCCCAUGAUGCCAUGGGGAUACCUGAUUUGCAUGAAGCCACCCAGCAUGGAAGACCUGUCUGUCUUCGAAAGUGUGUCUUAUGCCAGCAUCUCUGGGAAGCCUCUGGCUGCAAGUCAUACCAUCUCAAAGCUCAAGUUCUAUCACUGAGUUGGGGCGGAAGUGAAGGGACUGAAGUACCUUAGAAAUGGACUGGUGGUCUUGACUCUAUAGCUUUGGACUGUCACUGAAAUGUACUCAGCCAUCCUGUCUAACCUGCUCUGGCCUUGGCAGAUCCUCUUGGUCUCGACAUGCCGAACUGCACUUACAUCCUGGACCCAGAAAAGCUCACCCUGAGGGCUACCUAUGAUAACUGUACCAGGAGAGUGCAUGGUGGACACCAGAUGACCAUCAGAGUCAUGAACAACAGUGCUGCCUUAAGACACGGAGCUGUCAUGUAUCAGUUCUUCUGUCCAGCUAUGCAAGUAGAAGAGACCCAGGGGCUUUCAGCAUCUACAAUCUGCCAGAAGGAUUUCAUGUCUUUUUCCUUGCCACGGGUCUUCUCUGGCUUGGCUGACGACAGUAAGGGGACCAAAGUUCAGAUGG
rnacentral:lncRNA from 1 species